AUACCUGUUUGCCGACAUCUCAUCUAUCACCAACUGCUGCUCCGUAUUGACUGACCAUUGAGACUCCUGAUGCUGAGCAUAGUUGAGGAAUCGACGAAAAUAAUGGCCAAUGUUUGCGUUCAUUGUCAAAGACACCUGCCUAUGUUUGUUUCCACUGAGGAACAUAUGUACACCAUUGAUUCAAUUCACAGUUGCAGUGAUUUCGAAUGAGACAUCACGGCGAAAAGAUCAUUUCUCUCUAAAUUCUAGGCUUUGAUUUCAAGAUGAGAGCACACCAGAUGAUACAAAUUCUUCUGCUAACUUUCCUGUUCCUGGGAGUCCUGCCUAUCCCAGUCGUCAAGGACAAGACGAAAAUUGACAAAAAGAUCGACCCAAUCGAAGCGGAAAUCGCUGAAAGAGAGAAAGCUGCGGAGAUGGUCACUAAGUGUCCAGUGACAUCCACUCCAGGGACUGGCGGCUGUUGCUUCUGCGUCAUUGGGUGUUCCUGUGUGGUUGACGGGCGAAAACAGCCCGCGUGGUGUUCCGGAAACGAAUCCAUUAAAACGACUGACGUCGAUUAUAAGAACUUCGUCUGCUACGGACGAAAAUCCGAUAUGAAAGCCAUUAUUCAAUUUUAAAAUCAAAAUCCAUCUUUCAUAAUGCCGAUUGCUAAAAGUAAGAAGUUUUUGAUGAGGCACUACAUGUACGACUGGAUAAAAAAUUAGAAACUUGCAAAGUUAUACGAUUUCAAUAAUCCAUCAUCGUGUGCAUGAAGUUUGGCUGCUAUUCACGACCUGUUAAUAUUUUUCGACAUUGUUUUGAGUAAUCUGUAUGAUCCUAUACAUGUAUCACAGUAACACUAUUUAUUCUUCACGGGCAGAUGGGAUUUCCGAAAAGAACAAAGGACUGUUUCGUUGAACUGAUUCGACAACUGAGGACUCGGUUGGGUUUUGUAACUCAUUGAAAAUAUGAUUAGAUCAGUACAUGUAAUUGUGAUAUGAUUUCAAAAGAGUUAUGCUUACUUCUGUUAUCUUUCUAUGACGUUGGUUUUGAAUCGUCGGAAUAAAUUUGACAUGCAUCUUUA